rnacentral:rRNA from 1 species
UACAGAGGUCCCAAGCGUUUGUUCGGAUUUACUGGGCGUAAAGGGUGCGCAGGUGGCUGGAUAAGUUUGAUGUGAAAUCUUCGGGCUUAACCCGGAAAAGGCAUUGAAUACUAUUCGGCUGGAGGUUUGGAGGGGGGACUGGAAUUCUCGGUGUAGCAGGUGAAAUGCGUAGAUAUCGAGAGGAACACCGGUGGCGAAGGCGGAUCUCCUGGGCGCG